rnacentral:tRNA from 1 species
GGGGCUGUAGCUCAGUUGGUAUGAGCACUUGACUGGCAGUCAAGGGGUCACGGGUUCGAUCCCCGUCAGCUCCACCA